AGUGAACGCUGGCGGUAGGCCUAACACAUGCAAGUCGAACGGCAGCACAGGAGAGCUUGCUCUCUGGGUGGCGAGUGGCGGACGGGUGAGGAAUACAUCGGGAUCUACUCUGUCGUGGGGGAUAACGUAGGGAAACUUACGCUAAUACCGCAUACGACCUACGGGUGAAAGCAGGGGAUCUUCCGAACUUGCGCGAUUGACUGAGCCUCUGUCGGAUUAGCUAGUUGGCGGGGUAAAGGCCCACCAAGGCGACGAUCCGUAGCUGGUCUGAGAGGAUGAUCAGCCACACUGUAACUGAGACACGGUCCAGACUCCUACGGGAGGCAGCAGUGGGGAAUAUUGGACAAUGGGCGCAAGCCUGAUCCAGCCAUACCGCGUGGGUGAAGAAGGCCUUCGGGUUGUAAAGCCCUUUUGUUGGGAAAGAAAUCCAGCUGGCUAAUACCCGGUUGGGAUGACGGUACCCAAAGAAUAAGCACCGGCUAACUUCGUGCCAGCCGCCGCCGUAA
rnacentral:rRNA from 1 species